GUCCCUGUCGAUUAGUGGUUAAAUCAUCACGUUGUGGUAGCUCGACGCACUUCGGAAUCGCUAGACCGUGAAGCCGGGAGCUCGAAUCUCCCCAGGGACA